CAAAAACAUAGCUAGAGUUAGAUAUAAUAUAGUUYUUCCUGCUCAAUAUAUAAUUAAUAGCCGCAGUACUCUGACUGUGCAAAGGUAGCAUAAUCAAUUGGCUUAUAAUUGAAGUCUAGAAUGAAAGGAUAUACGGGUAAUUACUGAAUYUGAGGUUUGAUUYUAAGUUGGUUUUCAAGUGCAAUACUUGUGAAUAACUGUUAGACGAGAAGACCCUAGAAAUUUGAAUGAAUGUUUCGUUGGGGCAACGUAGUAGGGAUAACCUACAGUAACAGACAAGAAAAUUUUUAGAGUGGAAAAAUUACUUUAGGGAUAACAGCAUAAUUUAUUAAAGUUUGUGACCUCGAUGUUGGAUUUGGGAAUUAUAGUCCAGAAGAUUUU
rnacentral:rRNA from 1 species